rnacentral:rRNA from 1 species
AUUGAACGCUGGCGGCAGGCCUAACACAUGCAAGUCGAGCGGAUGAGUGGAGCUUGCUCCAUGAUUCAGCGGCGACGGGUGAGUAAUGCCUAGGAAUCUGCCUGGUAGUGGGGGACAACGUUUCGAAAGCUACGCUAAUACCGCAUACGAUCUAUGGAUGAAAGCGGGGGGAUCGCAAGACCUCGCGCGAUUGGAGCGGCCGAUAUCAGAUUAGGUAGUUGGUGAGGUAAAGGGACGUCACCAAGCCGACCGAUCUGUAGCUGGUCUGAGAGGACGACCAGCCACACUGGACUGAGACACGGCCCAGACUCCUACGGGAGGCAGCAGUGGGGAAUUUUGGACAAUGGGCGCAAGCCUGAUCCAGCAAUGCCGCGUGCAGGAUGAA